CCGUCCAGAAAUACUUGUCGGAGGAAUGGAUGUAUCUAGACGUAUUUUAGUUCUAGAUACAUUCAUUUCUAUCCAUUUCUGCGACAAGUAAUUCCGGACGG
rnacentral:pre_miRNA from 1 species